GACGAACGCUGGCGGCGUGCUUAACACAUGCAAGUCGAGCGGUAAGGCCCUUUCGGGGGUACACGAGCGGCGAACGGGUGAGUAACACGUGGGUGACCUGCCCUCAGCUCUGGGAUAAGCCUGGGAAACUGGGUCUAAUACUGGAUAUGACUCCACGGUGCAUGGUCGGUAGGGGUGGAAAGCCUUGGUGCGGCUGAGGAUGGGCCCGCGGCCUAUCAGCUUGUUGGUGGGGUGANGGCCUACCAAGGCGACGACGGGUAGCCGGCCUGAGAGGGCGACCGGCCACACUGGGACUGAGACACGGCCCAGACU
rnacentral:rRNA from 1 species